rnacentral:lncRNA from 1 species
GACACAGGAGCUGUGUGUUUGCAGGUAGUGCAAGAUCUCUUGGCAGCGUUGCCUGCACACUUAAAAGGUUCUCCAGGACAAGGAUGUGCCUUCCCUCACGUGAGAUGAUAAGGCUGCAAGAGGAGUUCUUGGACUUAAUGCUCAUUAGAAGAAGAGUUAACUGGCUGGGCUGGGACAGGGGCACUCUGCGGGGUAAGGAACUGGCUGUAGGGCCAGACAGAAUGGUGGGGAAUGGAGUUACAUCCAGCUGACAACAGGUGACGAGUGGUGUUCCCCAGGGGUCAGUACUGGGGCCUGUCCUGCUCAGUAUCUUUACUGAUGACCUGGAUAAGGGCAUUGAGUGCACCCUCAGUAAGUUUGCAGAUGACACCAUGCUGGGAGGGAGUGCUGAUCUGCUGGGAAGUAGGAAGGCCCUACAGAGAGAUAGGCUGCAUCAGUGCUGACAGCACUGAGCUGUGAUGUCACCAAGUGAUGGCAUGUGAUGUCACCAGGUGAUGGACUGUGACCUCAUGGCCUAAGCUGCAUAUACUGGGGUAUGCAGAGGUUGUCCCAGCCUGGCUCUUUCCUGGACUCUGGCUGAGCAUUUCUGCAUGGUGCCCAAACCCACACACAGUGCUCAAGCUGAGGCAGCAAGGCCUUCAGCCCUUCACUGCUGCUUUCCUGCACAGGUUACAGAGCACAGAGGUGACAGGAGCCAGCUGCUGGCUCGACAGAGGAAAAGCGAGCAAGGUCUGGCUUUCAUGAAACACAGAAAAGCAUCACUGUGGGCUGCAGAU